rnacentral:rRNA from 1 species
UACGUAGGGUGCAAGCGUUGUCCGGAAUUAUUGGGCGUAAAGAGCUCGUAGGCGGUCUGUCGCGUCGGCUGUGAAAACCCGGAGCUCAACUCCGGGCCUGCAGUCGAUACGGGCAAACUGGAGUGUUGCAGGGGAGACUGGAAUUCCUGGUGUAGCGGUGAAAUGCGCAGAUAUCAGGAGGAACACCGAUGGCGAAGGCAGGUCACUGGCCGCAACUGACGCUGGAGGAGCGAAAGCAUGGGGAGCGAACAGG